rnacentral:rRNA from 1 species
GACGAACGCUGGCGGCGUGCUUAACACAUGCAAGUCGAACGGAAAGGCCCUGCUUUUGUGGGGUGCUCGAGUGGCGAACGGGUGAGUAACACGCGAGUAACCUGCCCUUGACUUUGGGAUAACUUCAGGAAACUGGGGCUAAUACCGGAUAGGAGCUCCUGCUGCAUGGUGGGGGUUGGAAAGUUUCGGCGGUUGGGGAUGGACUCGCGGCUUAUCAGCUUGUUGGUGGGGUAGUGGCUUACCAAGGCUUUGACGGGUAGCCGGCCUGAGAGGGUGACCGGCCACAUUGGGACUGAGAUACGGCCCAGACUCCUACGGGAGGCAGCAGUGGGGAAUAUUGCACAAUGGGCGGAAGCCUGAUGCGGCAACGCCGCGUGCGGGAUGACGGCCUUCGGGUUGUAAACCGCUUUCGCCUGUGACGAAGCGUGAGUGACGGUAAUGGGUAAAGAAGCACCGGCUAACUACGUG